GUGGGUAGUCCGCACGAGCGCACCUCACUUUUAGUUGCCAUCAUUAAGUUGGGCACUCUGAAAGAACUGCCAGUGAUAAGCUGGAGGAAGGUGGGGAUGACGUCAAGUCCUCAUGGCCCUUACGUGUUGGGCUGCACACGUGCUACAAUGGCAUCUACAACAGGAAGCAAAACGGCAACGUUAAGCAAAUCCCGAAAAGAUGCCUCAGUUCGGAUUGCACUCUGCAACUCGAGUGCAUGAAGCUGGAAUUACUAGUAAUCGUGGAUCAGCGUGCCACGGUGAAUGCGUUCCCGGGUCUUGUACACACCGCCCGUCACACCAUGGGAGUUGGUUCUACCUUAAGGCAAGGUUUUAAACCCUUGACAACGGUAUAGUCAGCGACUGGGGUGAAGUCGUAACAGGGUAGCCGUAGGGGAACCUGCGGCUGGAUUACCUCCUUUCU
rnacentral:rRNA from 1 species